CACGUAGUUAGCCGGUGCUUCUUCUGCAGGUACCGUCACCACAAGCUUCGCCCCUGCUGAAAGCGGUUUACAACCCGAAGGCCGUCAUCCCGCACGCGGCGUUGCUGCAUCAGGCUUCCGCCCAUUGUGCAAUAUUCCCCACUGCUGCCUCCCGUAGGAGUCUGGGCCGUAUCUCAGUCCCAAUGUGGCCGGUCGCCCUCUCAGGCCGGCUACCCGUCAAAGCCUUGGUAAGCCACUACCCCACCAACAAGCUGAUAAGCCGCGAGUCCAUCCAAAACCGCCGAAGCUUUCCAACCCCCACCAUGCAGCAAGGAUUCCUAUCCGGUAUUAGCCCCAGUUUCCUGAAGUUAUCCCGAAGUCAAGGGCAGGUUACUCACGUGUUACUCACCCGUUCGCCACUCGAGUACCCCCAAAGGGGCCUUUCCGUUCGACUUGCAUGUGUUAAGCACGCCGCCAGCGUUCGUCCUCGAGCCAGGAUCGAAACUCU
rnacentral:rRNA from 1 species